rnacentral:rRNA from 14 species
GCUUUACUGUAGCCUGGAAUUGGGUUCGGGCUUUGCUUGCGCAGGAUAGGUGGGAGGCGUUGAGACUACCCUUGUGGGGGNUAGUGGAGCCAACGGUGAGAUACCACUCUGGCGAAGCUAGAAUUCUAACCAUUAGCCGUUAGNNNCCGGCAGUGGAACAGUUUCAGGUGGGCAGUUUGACUGGGGCGGUCGCCUCCUAAAUGGUAACGGAGGCGCGCAAAGGUUCCCUCAGGCUGGUUGGAAAUCAGCCGCAGAGUGUAAAGGCACNAAGGGAGCUUGACUGCAAGAGACACAGCUCGNAGCAGGUAGGAAACUANGGCCUUAGUGAUCCGACGGUGAAUGAGUGGAAGUGCCGUCGCUCAACGGAUAAAAGUUA